UGGGGAAUUGUUCGCAAUGGGCGCAAGCCUGACGACGCAACGCCGCGUGGAGGAUGAAGAUCUUCGGGUCGUAAACUCCUUUCGAUCGAGACGAAUGGCCUUCGGGUGAACAGCCCGGAGGAAUGAUGGUACCGAGAGAAGAAGCCCCGGCUAACUCCGUGCCAGCAGCCGCGGUAAUACGUAGGAUGCAAGCGUUGUCCGGAAUUAUUGGGCGUAAAGGGUGCGCAGGCGGUUUUUCAAGUCAGAUGUGAAAUAUCCCGGCUUAACUGGGAGGGGCCAUUUGAAACUGAAAGACUAGAGUGCAGGAGAGGAUAGCGGAAUUCCCGGUGUAGUGGUGAAAUGCGUAGAUAUCGGGAGGAACACCAGUGGCGAAGGCGGCUAUCUGGCCUGCAACUGACGCUGAGGCACGAAGGCUAGGGGAGCGAAC
rnacentral:rRNA from 1 species